rnacentral:lncRNA from 1 species
CCCAAAGCAGGGUGCAGCUAUAUUACAAGCACAUGAUGGCUUUGGCUGUUUUCUAGGUGUCUGGUAUGUUUACUGCAUCUCCUCCAAUGGAUGAGAGGAGAAUUGAAGUGAAAUAAAAAAAAAAAAUGCAGCAACCGUUCAAAAUGGGACUGAUGCUUCAUGUCUUUUUUUCAGGCUUCCAGGCUUAUGCACCGAAUUUCUGGAAAUGAAGCUGCACCCUUAUCAAAGACAGCCACACCAUUAAAACCCCUUGGUCAGCCCUCUCCAAUACUGAACCCACCUGAAGAGCUGUCCCGUAGCCAUCUGCUAGUGUGGCCCUUCAGUGGUGCUUUGUAAGGAUCUAGACAACUAGGAUUUCACACAGCCUGUGGCAAAGGGUUGGCAUGAAGCAGGUGUGUGCAUCUGCAUUUUGGGACUCUGAAGCUGCAGCAUGUCUGUUGCAUACCUCUCCAUGCUCUCUCUUCUCUUUGUGGGCUGACUAUAACAGCAAAUCUGCACAGAAGCUUGAAGACAAAAGGCAGCUUGUUGAUUCUGAGCAAGUGGAACUUGGCUGGUCUUGGGAUUCAGCUAAUGUGAUACUGGAAAUAUUUGAAACUUGGAAUUGA